UGUCAGGUAGCUCAGUGGUUUAGAGCAGUCACCUAGCAAGCGAAAGACCUGGGUUCAAUUCCCGGUCUAGCGA
rnacentral:tRNA from 1 species